GUCACUGCUUGGCCCAUUUUUUUUUUCUGAUUUGUAAUACACGCUCCCAAUUGGCCGAAGUCCAGACUGUUGUGGGAAGGAACAGCAAGUGAUUCACGCAACUGGAUGGCCCAGCCAGGCUAGUUAGAAGCAGCUUUCCAGUCAGCUGUGUGUCUCCAGGUGCACUAAUUGGUUGCCAUGGGAAUGGUAGAUGCAUAACUACAGCAGGAGAAAGAAGGCUUGAAGCUGAGAAAAAAAAUCCAAAACUAUGCCCUAAAGCUCAUUCUCUGUAAUGGCUACAUUCAUGACAAGAAACUUGUGAGAACCCCACGACUCUGCUGAACAUAUUGAUACAAUCAAUUCACAAAAUCCUAAAUACACCCCAUAAUGUCUUCAAUGAGCUGAAUUUUUGGAGCCCUGAUGGUUUCUGUAGGUCAAAGUUUGUGGUAGGAGAUAGGGGCCUAAGUUUGUCAAGUGCUCCGGUGAAGGGUUUUAAAUGUAACCCUCAGUGCUCUGUGUACUGAGCCUGGCUUCCUGUAUCUCAUAUGGCCAUUAGAAGCAGCUUUUCAGUCAGCUGUGUGUCUCCAGGUGCGCUAAUUGGUUGCCAUAGGCAGUGAGACACACACCCACACACACACAUUGUCAGACUGUGUGUGUGUCUCGUUUAGGAUUUUAUCCUAAGCAGCUGUGAGAUCAAAGGCAUUAACUAACUUCUGUUUGAAUGAGAAGCUCUUCUUCACCUCGCUCUGUCAGCUAAAAACUUUUUUGUGAAACUUGCUUAUAUAUGUAAACUCAGUGAGUGUACAGGUCAAGGUUGCCCCCCAGUGUCCUGAAUGAUAUUUUUUAUGUUUCAGAACUGGUAGUCCUCGCUUUGUGGGUCUUUUCUCAUAGACCUCACAAAGCAGCAAGUACAAGAAUGUGUGUGUGUGUGUGUGUGUGUGUGUGUGUGUGUGUGUGUGUGUGUGUGUGUGUGUGUGUGUGUGUGUGUGCUAAUUAAUGCAUCUUAACAGGUGUCAGACAUCAAAGGCAUUAACUGACCUACUGUUUGAAUGAGAAGCUGCCUAACUGCAGUGAAUUUAGGGCCUCUGAACUUCGUCACAUAGCACGAUUUCCUUAAAUCCCAGAAUGAAAAUAAGAACGUCGUACGAAUCCUCCACCCUUCAUGAACACAAUGAUGUGUUUUUCAUGUCUGUACUCUAAAAAAUGUGGCCACAACAGCGAGUUAAAAAAGUCUGAGCCUGAGUGAUGAUAAGGAUUUUCUUGGAGAAAAAUUACAUUAGGGUUAAUGGGAGAGACUUCCGCCUAUUUGGACAGUUGGUCACCUGCUGGCCAAGGAGUAGGAUUUAAUGAUUUGAAACCUCUUUUGUGAGAAGCAGGACACAUAUACCUCCAUUUUGAUGUAUUUUUUAUGGCUGUGGAGUGAAAUUUGUGGGCGUGGGAGCGAUAUAUUCGAGCGGGGUUCUGUCGAUCCAAGAGUAGGUCUGCACUCUAGCGAUGUAAUCAAACACUCUAGCCUCUCCAAUACACACCCAUUAUAAAGCCUGAAAUUUGCUGAAAACCACGAGUUGCUUAAAGCUAAAUUGUGGGAAAACUGUAAAAGAUAUCACAACAAAGUGAAUACAAGAUUAAUAGUCGACAAGUUAAUGGACAUUUUAAAGCAAAAAUUAGGUCUCUAUGUGAAAGUAUGCUGAAGUUACAACGCUUAGAAGGUGGAAGAAUAAAAGGAAGAAUUGGAAGAUUUCCCCAUAUAUAAAAACUAGAAAAAUUGCAUUUCCUUGCAGGAAAUGCUGAGUGCUUGAAAUCUGAAAAAGCAAUGCAAAACUGCUAAAAAAAAAAUGGAGGAAGGUUUAAAUGUAAAAUUAGUUAAAGGGCUGGAGAAAGAGAAGUAGAAGUUGGAUGAAAGUGAAAAUUGCUGAAGUUCAAAGAGUACGAAUGUGCUUCAAAAAUUAAAAUUGCAUUCAUGCUGAAUAAGGCUAGAAAAACUGUCUGAAAUUGCAAAAAAAAUGGAUAAGGAAGAAAAUAACCUUAAAACACAGAAAAGUGAGAAGUGGCAUAAGUUGAAGUACUAGAAGUAGUAUGAUAAUAGGUAGUUGUAGUAGUGAUAUUAGUAGUCAUGUAAGCAGUAGAAGUAGUUUUAGAAUAGAAGAAGUAGAAGUCAAAUCAGUAGAGCUCUGUGGGAACUCAUAUAUCAUACCUAUCAUUUAGUCAUUGUUUCAGGUAACUAACUGUUUUCUUAUUGUGUUUACAUUAUUUUGUGUGCUCAUUGCGGACAUGUACUGAUGAGUAAGAUAAGAAAGUUUAAAGCUAACACGGGGGCAAUUGAUCACUGUGUCACAACGCAUAGAAGAGAGACUCUCAGUAAAGAAAGAUUUUAGCUUAUGCCUAGAAGUGCCAAGGGUUGGUAAGUAUGGUUUUAAACUAUUCUGCCUUAACAGUCAUUUAUAUUUUAGCUUAUGCCUAGAAGUGCGAAGGGUUGGUAAGUAUGGUUUUAAACUGUUCUGCCUUAACAGUCAUUAUUUGAAGUGUGUAUUAUAAUCAUAACAGUCAUUUAUUAAAAAGUGUGCUUUAUAAUCAUCACAGUCAUUCAUUAAAAGUGUUCCUUAUAAAAGUGCUCUAUGACCCUGACAUAUGCUCUAGAUAAUGAUGUGCCUUUGAUAAACAGACGUGCAGGUGUAGCUCAGAAAUGUGAACAACAGGGUGAGAGAGGAAGAUCACUGUGUCCUGAGAAGAUGUGGAGAUGUAAAGGGAGGGUUUGCAUGCCCAGCAGUCUGACCAGUGGGAACUCAGUGAAGGCCCGGAAUACAUGACGCAAAUAAGAUAAAAAGGAGACAGGCACUGUGUGCAUCCAAGGUCAACUUCCCCCAAACCACAGUCUUGGUUAGGUAAAAAAAAACACAAGAAUACGUGCUUGUUUGUCCUUAGAGAAACACUUGGGACUGCUGGUUAUGUAAACUCUCCGCCCAUAAAGAUGAUGAGACGCCUCAAGUGUAUAAAGAUUAACUACUGAAAAAUAGUAAUCAGAACACUUCAGAGAUACCAUUGGGUUGAUGUUGUGCUCUCCAAGAUAUCUGGUGUUAUUUGCUGUGCCGAAAUAAAAGGUUUGUUGAAGACACCCUUUUGCCUCAUGAAUCCUCUGUUCCAGUCUCCAUCAACGGACUCAGGGAAGUUUGGAAUAACUUCAACAGCUCGUGGUAGAAGUAAGAGUAGAAGUAAAAAAAUAUUAAGAGAAGCAAGAGCAGUGGAGGUAGAAGUGAAGAUACAAGUUAAAGUGAUAUAAGUAGUAAUUGUAGUGGUAGAACUGGGAUUUUGUUUGGAAAAUUAAAACAUACAUAAAUAAUGAGAAUGAUUUUGAAGUGGGAAAAAUUUAAAAUAAUUAGAAGUCCUAAAGUGUUAAACAGGUCUGAAGUAUCAGAAAGGUUUGAAUCAGUUUGGAUUUGUCUGAAUGAAAAUAAUUUUAAAGUGGGGAAAAGUUAAAUGAAUACAAAUCCUGAGUACACCCCAUAAUGUCCUGAAUGAGCUGAAUUUUUGAAGCCCUGAAUGGUUUCUGUAGGUCAAAGUUUGUAGUCCUCGCUUUGUGGGUCUUUUCUCAUAGACCUCACAAAGCAGCAAGUACACGUAUGUGUGUGUGUGUGUGUGUGUGUGUGUGUGUGUGUGUGUGUGUGUGUGUGUGUGUGUGUGUGUGUGUGUGUGUGUGUGUGUGUGUGUGUGUGUUAAGUCCAUGUAGAGUCUCAUUCAUCCAGGUCAUGGUUAUCUUGAAGACUUAAAAACAGGCAACUGGACUGUGUAGAGUUGAGAAAGUUUCUCAGUUAAUCAUUUGUCAGUUAAUGCCUUUGAUCUCACAGCUGUUUAGGACACAAUCAUUAACGAGACACACACACACACAGUCUGACAAUGUGUGUGCGUGUGUGUCUCUGUCCAGGGGACCUGUAUGUACACAUAGUUAAUACUGUAUGUGUCUGCUUCACCACCUAUCUCCACCCACAAACUUUGAGCUACAGGAACCAUUCUGGGGUUCAAAGAUUCAGCUCAUUGAGGACAUUAUGGGGUGUAUUUAGGAUUUUGUUAAUUAAUUGUAUCAAUAUGUUCAGCAGAGUCGUGGGGUUCUCACAAGUUUCUUAUCAUAGUGGAGUCCCUAAGCCCAAAAAAUAAGCUGUUAACUUCAAGUCAUGAUACAAAUAUCCCCUUUGGUAUGGAAGUACCUUAGGGUCAUAGGAAACAUUUUAUCCAAAGAGACAAGUUAGAUCACCCUUCAAUUUUUUUUAAUAGCCAUUUUAAAAAUGGCCGCCGACAAUAAACCGCUAAUACACCAGACCCCAUAUCUUUUCUUCUGUUGGAGCUAUAAUCAUAAUAUUGGUGUCAAGGUGCACAUUUUUGGGGUCUAGGAAUUCAAUUAAAUAGGUUUCAAUGUAAAAAAACCCAAUGCUUCAUUAAUUACCAUGACAGUGGGAGGUAAAAUAUGCUAAUUUCGUGAAAAAAUAUAAGUUUUGACAGGGUAACUUACCCCCCCACCCCUCCUCCUAAAGUGAGAUUUACUUUUCCUUUGGCAUGGAUGUACCUUAGGGCCAUAGGAAACAUUUUAUCCAAAGAGACAAGUUAGAUCCCCCUUCAAUUUUUUUUAAUAGCCAUUUUAAAAAUGGCCGCCGACAAUAAACCGCUUAUACACCAGACCCCAUAUCUUUUCUUCUGUUGGAGCUAUAAUAAUAAUAUUGGUGUCAAAGUGCACAUUUUUGGGGUCUAGGAAUUCAAUUAAUUAGGUUUCAAUGUAAAAAACCCAAUGCUUCAUUAAUUAUCAUGACAGUGGGAGGUAAAAUAUGCUAAUUUCAUGAAAAAAUAUAAGUUUUGACAGGGUAACUUACCCCCCCACCCCUCCUCCUAAACUGAGAUUUACUUUUCCUUUGGCAUGGAAGUACCUUAGGGCCAUAGGAAACAUUUUA
rnacentral:lncRNA from 1 species